UACGUAGGGGGCAAGCGUUGUCCGGAUUUACUGGGCGUAAAGAGCGUGUAGGCGGCCACGCAGGUCCGUUGUGAAAACUGGAGGCUCAACCUCCAGCUGUCGACGGAAACCGUGUGGCUAGAGUCCGGAAGAGGAGAGUGGAAUUCCUGGUGUAGCGGUGAAAUGCGCAGAUAUCAGGAAGAACACCAAUGGCGAAGGCAGCUCUCUGGGACGGUACUGACGCUGCGACGCGAAAGCGUGGGGAGCGAACAGG
rnacentral:rRNA from 1 species